rnacentral:lncRNA from 1 species
GGUAAGUGAGCAAGCAGAGAUUGUAAUUGUGGAUUAAUAUGGAGGAAAGUGAGAACAUGACAGAAAUAAAUGGGCACUGGAAAGAUGAAUAAUGUAAUUGCUACCAUUAAACUGGAUUCAGCUUUGUAACUGCAAAAGACAAAAGUCUAGGGGCCUAUUGUCAAAGGGUGACUCUUGAAUGUUGAGAGGAUGGUAUCUGUCACUGAGGAUUAUCUGGAACUUGAUGGCCUGAAGGUGAGAGGAGACAAAUCAGGUUCUUACAUUUAGAAGAAUGUUGAGAGCAACUGUCAAAGUCUUACAGUUGAUUAUAAACCACCUUUUGAAGAGGAUCAAAACAGGACAACAAGCAUCUGUGGAUGACAAAACAUAGUACAACAACUACAGUUAGACAUAAUUGGCAAGGAAAUUUGUUACCUCUGUGAAACAAAAUAAUUUAACAUAACAAUUAUAAUGAUUACUGAUAAUGUAUACUAAGUUAUAUCGGAAUUAUAGGGGUUUCACAUAAUUUUGGAACAUGUACCAAUAACACAUUUAUAAUGAACAGAUUAAUGCUUUAAUAAAGUUCUGUUGUACUAUUACUCCAGUGUUCAACUUACAAAAUCCUGAAUAAUACCCCUUUGACUUUAGCCAACAUGAUUAUACACAGAAUUUCUUUUAUGAGAUAAACUUUUUACAAACCUUCCACAAUGUGCUUAAAACUUUAGCUUUAUCCUAUCUAACUUAAAAUAAUCCUUUAACCCUCUAAACUAGGCAAAAA